CCUACGGGAGGCAGCAGUGGGGAAUAUUGCACAAUGGGGGAAACCCUGAUGCAGCGACGCCGCGUGAGUGAAGAAGUAUUUCGGUAUGUAAAGCUCUAUCAGCAGGGAAGAAAUAGCGACCUGUGGGUCGCCAGACGGUACCUGACUAAGAAGCCCCGGCUAACUACGUGCCAGCAGCCGCGGUAAGACGUAGGGGGCAAGCGUUAUCCGGAUGUACUGGGUGUAAAGGGAGCGCAGGCGGAGGUGCAAGUCAGCGGUAAAAUUGCGGGGCUCAACCCCGUACUGCCGUUGAAACUGCAUCCCUUGAGUGCGCGAGAAGUAUGCGGAAUGCGUGGUGUAGCGGUGAAAUGCAUAGAUAGCACGCAGAACUCCGAUUGCGAAGGCAGCAUACCGGCGCGCAACUGACGCUCAUGCACGAAAGCGUGGGUAUCGAACAGGAUUAGAUACCCUUGUAGUC
rnacentral:rRNA from 1 species